AACGAACGCUGGCGGCAUGCCUAACACAUGCAAGUCGAACGAAACCUUUCGGUCUAGUGGCACGCGGGUGCGUAACGCGUGGGAAUAUGCCCUUGGGUUCGGAAUAACUGUUAGAAAUGACUGGUUAUACCGGAUGAUGUCUUCCGACCAAAGAUUUAUCGCCCGCGGAUGAGCCCGCGUACGAUUAGCUUGUUGGUCAGGUAAAGGCUCCCCAAGGCGACCAUCCUUAGCUGGUCUGAGAGGAUGAUCAACCACACUGGGGCUGAGACACGGCCCAGACUCCUACGGGGGGCAGCAGGGGGGAAUAUUACACAGUGGGCAAACGCCUGAUCCCACUAUGCCGCGGGGGAGAUGAAGGCCUUAGGGUUGUAAAUCUCUUUUACCCGGGAUGAUAAUGACUGUACCGGGAGAAUAACCUCGGGCUAACUCCGUGCCCGCGCCCGCGGUAAUACAGAGGGAGCUAGCUUUGUUCGGAAUUACUGGGCGUAAAGCGCGCGUAAGCGGCUUUGUAAGUUAGAGGUGAAAUCCCGGGGCUCAACCCCGGAACUGCCUUUAAACUGCGUCUCUCGAAUCCUGGAGAGGUGAGUGAAAUUCCGAGUGUAGAUGUGAAAUUCAUAUAUAUUCAGAAGAACACCAGUGGCGAAGGCGGCUCACUGACUCGGUAUUGACGCUGAGGUGCGAAAGCGUGGGGAGCAAACAGGAUUAGAUACCCUGGUAGUCCACGCAGUAAACGAUGAUGACUAGCUGUCGGGGGGCAUGGGCCUUCGUUGGCGCAGCUAACACAUAAAGUUAUCCCCCCUGGGGGAGUACGGCCGCAAGGUUAUAAUCCAAAGAAAUUGACGGGGGCCUCCACAAGCGGUGGAGCAUGUGGUUUAAUUGGAAGCAACGCGCAGAACCUUCCCAGCGUUUAACAUGCCCGGUAUGGUUUCCAGAGAUGGAUUCCUUCAGUUCGGCUGGCCGGUGCACAGGUGCUGCAUGGCUGUCGUCAGCUCUUGUGGUGAGAUGUUGGGUUAAUUCCAGCAACGAGCGCAACCUUCGUCUUUAGUUGCCAUCAUUCAGUUGGCCACUUUAAAGAAACCCCCGGUGAUAAGCCGGAGGAAGGUGGGGAUGACGUCAAGUCCUCAUGGCCCUUACGCGCUGGGCUACACACGUGCUACAAUGGCGGUGACAGUGGGCUGCUACCUCGAGAGGGAAAGCUAAUCCCGAAAAGCCUUCUCAGUUCGGAUUGUUCUCUGCAACUCGAGAGCAUGAAGGCGGAAUCGCUAGUAAUCGCGGAUCAGCAUGCCGCGGUGAAUACGUUCCCAGGCCUUGUACACACCGC
rnacentral:rRNA from 1 species